UUUGAAAUCUGGCCCCUUUGGGGUCCGAGUUGUAAUUUGCAGAGGGUGCUUUUGGUGUUGGCCGUGGUCUAAGUUCCUUGGAACAGGACGUCACAGAGGGUGAGAAUCCCGUACGUGGCCGCCGGCCCUCGCCUUGUAAAGCCCCUUCGACGAGUCGAGUUGUUUGGGAAUGCAGCUCUAAAUGGGAGGUAAAUUUCUUCUAAAGCUAAAUACCCGCCAGAGACCGAUAGCGCACAAGUAGAGUGAUCGAAAGAUGAAAAGCACUUUGGAAAGAGAGUGAAAAAGCACGUGAAAUUGUUGAAAGGGAAGCGCUUGCGGCCAGACGUGCCCGCGGUUGUUCAUCUGGGCUCUCGCCCGGUGCACUCCUCCGCGGGCAGGCCAGCAUCAGUUUGGGCGGUCGGACAAAGGUCUCUAUCACGUACCACCCCUCGGGGUGGCCUUAUAGGGGAGACGCAACACGGCCAGCCUGGACUGAGGUUCCGCGCAUCUGCUAGGAUGCUGGCGUAAUGGCAGCAAGCGGCCCGUCUUGAAACACGGACCAAGGAGUCUAACAUCUAUGCGAGUGUUUGGGUGUCAAGCCCGAGCGCGUAAUGAAAGUGAACGGAGGUGGGAACCCCUCGGGGCGCACCAUCGACCGAUCCUGAUGUCUUCGGAUGGAUUUGAGUAAGAGCAUAGCUGUUGGGACCCGAAAGAUGGUGAACUAUGCCUGAAUAGGGUGAAGCCAGAGGAAACUCUGGUGGAGGCUCGCAGCGGUUCUGACGUGCAAAUCGAUCGUCAAAUUUGGGCAUAGGGGCGAAAGACUAAUCGAACCAUCUAGUAGCUGGUUCCUGCCGAAGUUCCCUC
rnacentral:rRNA from 1 species